GGCCCCGCUCCGGGGUGUACGCGCGAUGCGUGCUGAGAUGGCCAAGCGGCCGAACCCGCGAACUUGAACUGGUUCAUACCAGCGUAAGAAGAGCUGCGACUCCCCGG
rfam:Variovorax sp. WDL1 contig_188, whole genome shotgun sequence.